GAACCUUACCUGGGCUCGAAAUGUUAUGGACCGGAGUAGAAAUAUUCCUUCCCCGCAAGGGGCCGUAAUAUAGGUGCUGCAUGGCUGUCGUCAGCUCGUGUCGUGAGAUGUUGGGUUAAGUCCCGCAACGAGCGCAACCCUUAUUGUCAGUUGCCAUCAUUUAGUUGAGCACUCUGACGAAACCGCCUCGGAUAACGGGGAGGAAGGUGGGGAUGACGUCAAGUCCUCAUGGCCUUUAUGUCCAGGGCUACACACGUGCUACAAUGGCCGGUACAAACCGUCGCAAACCCGUGAGGGGGAGCUAAUCGGAAAAAGCCGGCCUCAGUUCGGAUUGUAGUCUGCAACUCGACUACAUGAAGCUGGAAUCGCUAGUAAUCGCGGAUCAGAAUGCCGCGGUGAAUACGUUCCCGGGCCUUGUCACACCGA
rnacentral:rRNA from 1 species